rnacentral:rRNA from 1 species
GACGAACGCUGGCGGCGUGCCUAAUACAUGCAAGUUGAGCGAUGAAGAUUGGUGCUUGCACCAAUUUGAAGAGCAGCGAACGGGUGAGUAACGCGUGGGGAAUCUGCCUUUGAGCGGGGGACAACAUUUGGAAACGAAUGCUAAUACCGCAUAACAACUUUAAACAUAAGUUUUAAGUUUGAAAGAUGCAAUUGCAUCACUCAAAGAUGAUCCCGCGUUGUAUUAGCUAGUUGGUGAGGUAAAGGCUCACCAAGGCGAUGAUACAUAGCCGACCUGAGAGGGUGAUCGGCCACAUUGGGACUGAGACACGGCCCAAACUCCUACGGGAGGCAGCAGUAGGGAAUCUUCGGCAAUAGACGAAAGUCUGACCGAGCAACGCCGCGUGAGUGAAGAAGGUUUUCGGAUCGUAAAACUCGGUUGGUAGAGAAGAACGUUGGUGAGAGUGGAAAGCUCAUCAAGUGACGGUAACUACCCAGAAAGGGACGGCUAGCUACGUG